GUCCACAGACCUCUAAGAGUACAUUAGUGAAACUCGACGGGACAGGGCCCCGCCAUACCCAUAGACGAACAAAAGACUACACAAAAGUUAUGUACCAAAACGACUGGGCUCCGGAACAGUGGAGCUCUCCCAAUCAGCAGAGUAGAUAUCCUAGGCGGGAGGAUCACCGAACUGCGCGUCUACACCUGCGGGCAUGAAACGCAGCCCCCCGAGGAAAGGGGGGUCAGUACGGACAAUGUACUGAGUAUGUAAAGCAUAAGGUAAAGAUGACAGGAUACCAAUGUGGCAAGUCGAAACAAAAUAUCGCUACACAUAUACUUUUUAAGUGAAAAUCAUGCAUAUAUUUAACAUUUAAGGUGCCCAGCUUCCCUAGUAAGGGGCUCGGCAAAAUAAUCAUCACGUCAUCUCCGUCAUCAUCAUCAUAACCAUCCUCAUCACCAAUCAUAUAUAUAAUAUACAUACCCGGCCCUCUAGUGAGGAACUCGGUGACAUAUGCAAGAAACUCCGCACGAACAUUACCCGGCUCGGGACUCGGUGAAAUGAUAAAUGACUCUAUGCACGAGCAGAAUAUUAUGAGCAACCAUAUGCAAUUAAAAUCAUUUCUUAUAACUCAAUAGAACAAUCAACGUGAACCAGCAAGGAGUAUUACCAAAGAUUAAUGUUUUAUCAAGAUUAUGAACCUUUAAUACGAUAUGAAAACGUAAAAUUUCAAUGACUCUAAGAAGCAUUACCAUAGAUAUUAGAGAUCAUCAUAGCCUUAGACAUAACCGAUAUAUAGAGGAAUAAUUGUGGAAGCAAGAAUAUACAUCACCUAGACGCUUUAGAGGUAAGUAUCAAAUCUGUCCGUUAUUCGCUUAUUUUUAAAAGUCAUGCCAAGCAAAGAAAGAAGGGACAGCGUUACAUACCAUAUAAUUGAGCCGCACGUCCAAUAUUUACUGCUCAAGCUAUUAAUCUAUAACAAGCAACAAUCGUGCCGCAAUUAGAUAAACAUCGUGCUUUACUUUCUUGUAAGCUAGCUAAUAAUCUAACGAAAAUUCGGCAGCACCUCCCCUAUUUUCCUUACUUCGUCCCAAUCCGACAACAAUCCAAAUUAUCCACAGCAAUACCAAUAACACAUAUAACCCAAAGAAUCAUAUAAACAGCCCAAGCACCAACAUGACACCACUAAUAAUCCGAUUAUGGUUUCCAUUCAUACUUAGCACAUUCAAUAACUAAAACAAACUUCCUAAGCUACUGGUCACGCCCCCUUCUUAAAAUUAAUGGAUAAUUAACAAGGGUAUUCUAAAGAAUUAACACACCAAACAAGGAGAUUACUAACCAAAUUAUUUGCAGCUGCUGGCCAAGAGUUGCAGGGUUGGUUCUCCAUUUCCAUGGCUGCCUAAGACAAGUGGUGAAGAAGAAGAUGAUAUGCAGUAAUGCAUUUCAUCACUUUAUAUAGCAUGGAGUGGAUUUCUCCACCUCAUUUAAUAGUAUGAAGUGGAGGCAGCCCCCCUCUACACCUGUCCACUAAGGCCAGCACACAAUCUGAUCCCUUUUUAAUUUUUGCCUUGAGUGGUGGGGCCCAUUGGAUUAAAUCAAUCCAAAUUAGCCACUAAUUAAUCCCUCACUUAAAGUUAAUGGCACUUACAUUAACCAACUCAUACUUAAUAUCACAUUUGGAAAUAACAUCCUUGCCUAAUAUUUCUUUACGUCUUCUAGAUCACGAUGCGCACUACGUAUAAAAAAAAUACGAGGCAUAACAUAGACUUUCUGGUAGCCAAUGAUCUAAAAGAGCUAGCAGUGCAAAGAUACUCAAAAGUGGUUCGUGCACAUAAAAAAACGGUUGGACUGUGUCUUUCUCUAUUUUGUUCCUUCCUCAGCAAGGUUGGCAGUUUUCUGAUGUAAGCUUCCUGGGUACUGUAAAAAGUUUAUGUAAAUUCCCUAUAUUCAAAGGGAGUUGCUGACUUAUAAUAUCCCCUGAUCCGAGGGUGAGCUAGAAUUGCGUAUGGUAAAGAGGAAAGGAAGAAUCCAUUGUAAAGGAAGACAACAUUUACCAUUUCCGCUGCCUUCCUAAAGGCUUAUUGGUAGCUCUUAGGUUUUCUAUCAGUAGAGUGAUUGCCAAAACCUAGGUAUGUUUUUGGACAAUAAUAAGAAGAGAUGUUGUAUCUUGUACAAACUAUCAUCUAUAGUUUUAGCGACGUGCAAGCCAGUUUCUUCGAGACAAGCCCCCCAACCAUUACACUAUUCCUGCCCUAAAGCAAGGGAAUCCGCUCUAACCUAACACCCUGGUAGGAAUUGAUAGAUUUAAAGUGAAUUAAUCCUUUUAAUACAAGUUCUUUCCUCUAAUAAUGGCUAUGAACUACUCGAACUGAACUGUCAACGCUUUCAAACCAAGAGUGAGAAAGCUUAAUCAAUUAAGAGUAUUUUAGUUGAAUGGAUUAACUUAUUCCCCAUAAGAGACCGGAAAGGAAGCUAUCAAAUUUAGGGUAAACACCAAGGUAGGGUCGAAAGGGAAAACAAUGAUGUUUGAUGUGAACGGAAGCACAUAUUUCACAAAGAAAGAAAAACAGGAAGCUGCAUAGAAAACAUUACCCUCACUCAGAAUAAUAUACUCCUUGGAGACAUGAAGCACAAUAAACCUCCCUACCUUAAGACUUCUAACAUGGUCGAUUCUAGAUAGAGUACGGUAACCCACAACCCCCUACUCUACAAAACAAUGAUUGGAAAAUCUCUUCAUAGGGUACUGUAGCUAUACAACCGUAGUACCAUACGGAUGGUGAGAGUUCAUAAGAGCUUAAAUUUAGACAGGUGAAAACAUUCUUACUCAAAUUAUGAACCCUGAACCUCUUUGCGUAUUCACAACUGAAACUUGAUGGGAAUUCAUAAAUUUAUUAUAGGAAAGAAAAAGCCCAUAUACAAAAAAAAUUCAUAUACACGAGCGUCCUACUACAUUUUCCCCUAGUACAUCAUACUUAAGAAAGUGGUUUCUAGGGUCAACCUGUUUCAUUGCAUGCCAGAUCAUUAUGUGAUGAGACCGUGCAAACAAAGGCAACGAGAAGCGCUAGCCGACACUGGAAAAUGGGUGGGUGUCCAACAAUCAUUCCUUAGCUAAGAAGGAUUCAUUCACUGCAGCUUCUCUUACUAGCAGAUGAAACUAGCAACAUCACAUCAUAUAGAAUACUGAUUAACAGGCAUUCAAGUCUAUCUUAUAGUUUAUGUUGUUGAUCUCAUUGUUUCCGCGAGUGCAUCCUUCUUUUCCAAGCUUUAUUUGUAUCAUAAUUUUUCCAUAUGGGCACCUAUUCAUUUGUUUUGGGGUGUAUAAAGGCAUGAAGCGAUUCAGCUUCUAUUUUUUUGUAUUGACGCAAUUUGAAGAUCAUGAUUUCUCCCUGCCGCUCAAGCGGGAUCAGAUCGGUCUUUAGUGAGAACAUCUGUAAUUCAAUCGGGAACGAAAAGACUUCACUUCAAUUCAAUAAAUGACGUCUACUUCGUAAGUUGUAAGGAAAAAUAUAUAACCAAAAGAAAAGGUGAUAGGGGAGACUAUCCAUUUCACUCUACGUGAGUUAUAAAGUUGAACCCCCUUCACAAUUGAUUAAAAUGAAUGUUUCCCAGAGAUAUUUGUUCAAAUCCAAUGCGUGAAGACAGAGUGAAUUCAACAAAUCUAAGGAAGCAAGUCCUAGGAUUCACUAUUUAUCAAUCAAGAAAGUAAAGGAGAGAAGGUUAUGUUGAAAGUAGUACGUCUGCAAGGAUCUGUCGUUAACGAUUUGAUCGGGACACAUACAAUUGAAAGUCUAAUCCCAACCUCUUUAUAAGGAGCUCCAAAAAAGACUUCACUUUAGAGGGGGAAUCUUCCUACAAGUGAGCACCAAGUCAAAUGUAUUCAAAAAGGGCCAUACCUCUGCCUAGACAAAGGGGACUUUAAGGAAGCCUCGUAGGAGACAUUGAAUGUAACCAGCCUUCAAAAGUCGGAGGAGUCAAUAUCAACUUUCGAUUCAAAUAAGAGAAAUAUUGAGGUUUAUCCGCUUCAAUUUAUUAAGGUAUUUUUCUAUAUAGCCUUCUAAAUAGUAAGAGUAGGAAUUAAAAAGCAAGAACUCUUAACCAUCAUUCCUUAACUCUAAAGGGAGUCAAUGUGUAGAUCAACGACGAAAGGUGGCAUAGCGCCCGAUUGAUUGAGAGUCUUACAGCGCGUCAUGCAAGAUAGUAAAAUCAAUGUAGAAGCAGCCCCCGGAUCCACACAGGGUACUCUAAAGGAUGUUAUCUUUAACCUACUGCUCAACAAUUCUAAUUUGAAAUUGAAAGCUUUAUUGGACUGUGAUGCCAAUCUAAAACAUAACAGGGUUGAAGCAUCUUCUUGGAAUCACUAAGGAAGUAGGAAAAGAUCCAAGGUUGCCUGAGGCCAUGAAAGUUAGGAUGCUUGCUCUUGAAGAUGAACUAAACAUGGUCAUGGGCCAAUUUCUCGGUGCUGUUGAAGGUAUGAAUGAACACUUUACCCUAAUUGGUUGGGGGUGGGCGGGAAUUUAGUAGUUGCUUAGUCGUUCAAAUGUCAGACUGUCGUAAGCUUGACAUUAUUCUAUUUACUCUCUCAAAUGAGGGGCUGGUUUAUUUUGCCAUAGGGGACAUCUCCUGUCAUCCCUUAAAUAUGGUUCACGAAAGGGAUUGACCGGAAUGAUUGUAACGACACACACUAACACCACUACUUAGAGGUGGAAAUAAGGGAGGUCGGAGGAUGACAGAGCAGUCAUUCCUUGCUCUCUCCUUACAUCUUCUGUGAGGGAACCUCCUUUUAGAGUGUGAGUCGUUUCCAAUGCGGUUAAUUGCAAUUAGGCUUUGCCUAUGCAUUUAGCUCCGCUCCAGAUAUAACUCUCAAUGGCAUGUAGCUGUAGGCGGGAACUCUUAUUUUUAUCUUAUACUUUGGCCAGGGUGGUAAUCCCAACCAUAUAAGCAAUGGCAAUCGCUACAAGCAACCUAUUUUGAUACCCUUUUCGUCGUACUUCCUCUUUUCUCUCCCUGCCGAGCUUGUUGAAGUGCCAUUGCAAAGAUCUAGUGUAAUUCCCGUUCCCCGAAGCCAGUCCCAGUAGUGCUAGUAUUAAUAGGAUGAUCUCACUUCUGUUUACUCAGUCACCUCUUUCUUAUCAAAGACUCUGGCAGCUCGAACUCAUCGUCAAGAGCUAAAAUUACUUCAAGAGGACAAAUCAUAUUACAAAUUAAUAAUAUUAUAUAAUUUAAAAGUUGCAAAAUAUGCACACCAAAUUUUAUUUUAAUUAUAGAUAUGUUGAAAAUUAUUUACAAGCUUAUAAACGUGAUUUCUAGGUGAUCGGAGUAGAACAACACAUAUAGGCAUGAUUUUAUAACUCCAAAUGAUUAAAAAGAACAUUUUUAUCCUUAAGCAUGAUUUCUACGUGAUAGGACAAUGCUGAAAAAUUAUGACAUAUUUUUAGCAUCUAACCGAUGAGCCUACUAAAUUAUUAGGAUUUUAUUUUGACAUUCAAAAGUUAUUAAAAUCUAAUUGUUUGAAGCUUAUUAACAAAUUUAGAGUUUCUAAAUAAAAUAAUUAAGCAUGUUGAAAAUUGAUUAGUUUACAAUACCUAUAAACAAGGAUUCUAGGUGGUAGAAAAAUUUAAAAUCGCAUAAUACCUAUCGACAUGAUUUCUAACGUUGAAAAUUAUGAGAAAAUAAAUAAAGAAAAAUCAUGUAAAUCCCCUCACCUUAGAUGAUCCCCCCAUUUUUUUUUUCGUAUGUUGAGAGUUAGAGUUAGAGAGAUAAAAAUAUUGAAAUAACAAUGAAGAACAAAUGGAAAUACACAACAUUAAAAUAAAUGAAACAUCAUUCAAAAUUUCUUCUAGGCGACUCUUCCACAACUUGAACUCUAAGUUCAAAACCUACUAGAAAGUGUAAUAUAACACAUAUAUAUAAUGAAAAAUAUUCAUAGUAUUAAAUAUUCAUAAUAACCGAUUACUUUCACAUAAAAAACAUGUAAAAAUAGGUAAAGAAUAAUCAUUGUCGUACAUAGAGGGAAAGGAAAACGAAAGUAACUCGAAUGCUUCCUAUAAACACAAUCGGAAAAAUAUAAACAAAUAAAGAAAAUUGUCACAACUCUAAUUAAGCAAAGAGGAGACAAAUAAUCAAAACCCAUACAAGGAAAAACAUCAAAGCAAACACGGAUAAUUUGUUUUCCUCAACAAGACGGAACGAAAUCAGCUAAAAAACUUAAUAGACAUAUUAAGAGUCUAUUUCAAAUUCUAGUUAUGGCAAAUAAUCGGUUUAAAAGAAGGAGUAGUACAAUUAAACAAGAUGGAGUGAUUUAAUUAAGGGGAAGAGAUAUUUUACAUAUCAAUUUAACUCUAAUUAGGUAAAAAAAAUUAAUUAAUGUAUAACACAAUAAUAAAAUUGAUUUAUAAAUUUUAAAUUUAUAAGAUUGCUAUCGAAUCAGCAAAUACUACUAGUUAAGAGUGAUAAGGCAAUACUAAGGAGGAGCUUAGCAUGAAACUAUUUGAUAGAGGAAAAGUAGUAUUUUUGCAAGUAGGAAAUUCAAAUAGUAUGAUUAACAACUUUGUCAAUAUCCAUUUACAGAGACUAGAACAUAUUUGAACAUACAUAGUAAAAGAAAGGUGAAAUUCUAGGCAGAGAUUUUGACUAUGAAUAAACCUAAUGAAGAGUUUUGAUACAUCACAGAUAAAACAUGCAUAAAUAAUAUUUUUUGCCAGUAAACAAAUAAGACAAAGUGCAAGCAAACAAUAGGUCAUAAGUUGAGAAAUUGAAUCGGGCUAGAGAAUAACCUCAUUUAUCUACGAAAUGCUUGGCAGAGUAGGCCCUCCGUUCUCGUCGACUACUACUGCUUUCCUGCGUUUUGGUUGGUACCUUCACUGGUCGUUCUCUUGAGGCUGGCAGAUACUGCUU
rnacentral:lncRNA from 1 species